rnacentral:tRNA from 1 species
UUCCUGGUGGCCUAAUGGUGAAGGAUGCAGCAUUGUCGCUGCAGUGGCUCAGGUUUCAUCCCUGGCCAGGAAA